CGAUGAGUGCUAAGUGUUAGAGGGUUUCCGCCCUUUAGUGCUGCAGCAAACGCAUUAAGCACUCCGCCUGGGGAGUACGGUCGCAAGACUGAAACUCAAAGGAAUUGACGGGGGCCCGCACAAGCGGUGGGAGCAUGUGGUUUAAUUCGAAGCAACGCGAAGAACCUUACCAGGUCUUGACAUCCUCUGACAACCCUAGAGAUAGGGCUUCCCCUUCGGGGGCAGAGUGACAGGUGGUGCAUGGUUGUCGUCAGCUCGUGUCGUGAGAUGUUGGGUUAAGUCCCGCAACGAGCGCAACCCUUGAUCUUAGUUGCCAGCAUUCAGUUGGGCACUCUAAGGUGACUGCCGGUGACAAACCGGAGGAAGGUGGGGAUGACGUCAAAUCAUCAUGCCCCUUAUGACCUGGGCUACACACGUGCUACAAUGGGCAGAACAAAGGGCAGCGAAGCCGCGAGGCUAAGCCAAUCCCACAAAUCUGUUCUCAGUUCGGAUCGCAGUCUGCAACUCGACUGCGUGAAGCUGGAAUCGCUAGUAAUCGCGGAUCAGCAUGCCGCGGUGAAUACGUUCCCGGGCCUUGUACACACCGCCCGUCACACCACGAGAGUUUGUAACACCCGAAGUCGGUGAGGUAACCUUUUGGAGCCAGCCGCCGAAGGUGGGACAGAUGAUUGGGGUGAAGUCGUAACAAGGUAGCCGUAUCGGAAGGUGCGGCUG
rnacentral:rRNA from 1 species